UUGGAGGGCAAGUCUGGUGCCAGCAGCCGCGGUAAUUCCAGCUCCAAUAGCGUAUAUUAAAGUUGUUGCAGUUAAAAAGCUCGUAGUUGAAUUUCGGGGUCAGCAGGUUGGUCAUGCCUCUGGUAUGCACUGGUUUCGCUGAUUCCUCCUUUCUGAAGAACUGUAAUGUCAUUAAUUUGGUGUUGCAGGGAAACAGGACUGUUACUUUGAAAAAAUUAGAGUGUUUAAAGCAAGCUAACGCUUGAAUACAUUAGCAUGGAAUAAUGAAAUAGGACGUUUGAUCCUAUUUUGUUGGUUUCUAGGAUUGACGUAAUGAUUAAUAGGGAUAGUUGGGGGCAUUAGUAUUCAAUUGUCAGAGGUGAAAUUCUUGGAUUUAUUGAAGACUAACUACUGCGAAAGCAUUUGCCAAGGAUGUUUUCAUUAAUCAAGAACGAAAGUUAGGGGAUCGAAGACGAUCAGAUACCGUCGUAGUCUUAACCAUAAACUAUGCCGACUAGGGAUCGGAUGAUGUUAAUUUUUUAAUGACUCAUUCGGCGCCUUACGGGAAA
rnacentral:rRNA from 1 species